rnacentral:rRNA from 1 species
UACGUAGGGUCCAAGCGUUAUCCGGAAUCACUGGGCGUAAAGCGUGCGUAGGUGGCGCGUUAAGUGAGAUGUUAAAUCGUGUGGCUCAACCAUAUCGAUGCAUCUCAUACUGGCGUGCUAGAGGACAGCAGAGGCAAGUGGAAUUUGUAGUGUAGCAGUGAAAUGCGUAGAUAUUACAAGGAACACCAAUGGCGAAGGCAGCUUGCUGGGCUCCUCCUGACACUGAGGUACGAAAGCGUGGGGAGCGAACAGG